CCACCUGGGGAGUACGCCGGCAACGGUGAAACUCAAAGGAAUUGACGGGGGCCCGCACAAGCGGAGGAACAUGUGGUUUAAUUCGAUGAUACGCGAGGAACCUUACCCGGGCUCAAACGCAGGAGGAAUGUUUUUGAAAGGAGGCAGCUCUUCGGAGUCUCCUGCGAGGUGCUGCAUGGUUGUCGUCAGCUCGUGCCGUGAGGUGUCGGCUUAAGUGCCAUAACGAGCGCAACCCCUACCGCCAGUUGCCAACGGGUUAUGCCGGGAACUCUGGCGGGACUGCCGGCGCAAGCUGAGAGGAAGGCGGGGAUGACGUCAAAUCAGCACGGCCCUUACGUCCGGGGUGACACACGUGUUACAAUGGCAGGUACAGCGGGAAGCCACUUGGCGACAAGGAGCGGAACCCGAAAACCUGUCUCAGUUCGGAUUGGAGUCUGCAACCCGACUCCAUGAAGCUGGAUUCGCUAGUAAUCGCGCAUCAGCCACGGCGCGGUGAAUACGUUCCCGGGCCUUGUACACACCGCCCGUCAAG
rnacentral:rRNA from 1 species